GAGAUUAUAGGAGCCUAGGAUCGCAUUAAUCUGACAAGUAACUAGUGUAAUAACAAUAAAUAUUAUCAAAUAAGCCAACAAUUUGAUUUCAAAGCCCCGGGCAGAUGUGAUUUAUGUACUUCCCAGGCGCCUGCCUGCCUCUUUGGCCUUCAAACUUGAAGUAUUUGCCAUAAUUUCACGGGCAAUUUGCCUUCAGCCACCCACACAAAGUCAAUUGCGCGUUCGAGGCGAGUUUAGUAAGUAUGUGUGUAAUGUAAUUGGAUUUUAGUUUAUGAGAUUCGAUGGAGGUGUGCGAGGGGUUGGUCUAGUAGACCUCCCCAUCUAAUACUGACUGCCACCACCUGUCAGGUAAUUUUAACGCGUUUAAACCACGCACAAAUGCCAAAGGAAAAAAAGUCCUGGGCGGCAUGUUUGCGGUUUCGUUAUGUCAUGCGAGUGCAUUAAUACUGAAUCCUUCACAUCUGCAUCCCGACAGCCUGCCGACUGCUGACUUUUCAAGGAGCCUUUAUCAAUAAGCUUAUACAUGAAAAAACAUUUCAACCAAAAAUAUUAUUAAAGUAUUUAAGAAAUUUGUUUUUUGAGCAAAGCCUUUUAAACUAAUAUAUCUUUCCUUGCCAGAGAUAAAGUCCUGCUUUUAUCAUUAGCCCUUAAAAGGAAAACAUUCAACGUUCGAUUUUUCUGUGUGUGCCUUGAAAAGUUGCAGAUGGAAGCCAACAAGAAGAAUCAAGGUUUACUUCGUCAUGGCAUUCAUUAUUCAAUCCCAAGCUGGCAUAAACGAAACCAAUGUUGGCUGAAUAUGGCCAGUGAUUCCAUGCCUUGGCUUGGCUUCGCUUCCAAAAGGAUUUCAUAUGCAAAGGGUAAAGGGGAAACUUUUUAAAGUCAAGACUUUUGGAAGGCGAACUUAAAGGGAAGCUUGGCCAAGUAAAAAACAAAAUAAAUAGCAAGGGGACAGCAGGCCAAGGAGCGUCAGGGCCAUGAAUAUUUCAAGCUAUCCAAAGCACACACACACAUGCAUAAGCACUCCUCACCCGCCCACUCCCACACAUCAACUAGCGCUGAAAAGUAUGCUAUGCUGCUGGAGGAGUCUCUGACUGCUCUUCUCCAUAUUUUCUUUUUUUUUGUGUUUUCUGUUGGCUGUCGUCGUUGCUUAAGCGCAAACAAAUCAUACGGCACUUUUGCCGCAACAGACAAUUGAAACUGAGGGGGUAUACCAUGUGUGUGUCCACCCACACACACUCAGCCACACAUGCAUAGACUGUACGAAGGGCAUAUGUGUGUGUUUGGCAGAGCUGGAAUGAUGCCACAAAGUGCACUCGAGCAUCAAGAAAUGAAAAUACUAUUUAAGCCAUUUUAUCAACAUAAUCGUAAAUCAUUUUGCACUUUUCGCAUAAAAGUCGUCGCCGCCGUUGUCGUCGCUUUCAGCAAUAAAAGGACCAAUUGUCUAGUGCAUAUAAUUUGUUAUUGGAUUUCUUCAGCAGCUGCUACCAAAGUCUUGGCUUGGGUGUUGAUUUUGCUGGAUUUUGUUGCCAUUCCCUGCAGUACCAAAAAAUCACUAAGGAAAAUAUUCCUCAACGAUAGAGAGGGACACACUGAGAAAAGAGUGAGAUGCAACGUCUUUAAAAACAAUAGAAAAUGCAAAGACAGUCGAUGAGAGAAAAAAAUUCUCUCAGCAAAAGUCAUAUUAUUGUCAAUCGCAGUCUACGCGCGAUUCCUUGAUAGCUUAGAGGCUUGCAUGUUGGUCUAUUAAACAAAAGCACGGAGGUUCGAAUCCCAGUCCAGGCGAAAGGAUUUUUUUGCAAAAAAUGACCAAGGAGUUCUUUGAUGAGUUCUUUGCAAAGAAUACCAAAUACCUUCCCUAGGAUUUCUUUGCAGGUAUUCCUGGGGAAAUUCCCUAACCAGUUAGGGAGAAAAUUCCCCAGGUCACCGAUGCAUAGGACAUCCCAUACAAAAAUUCCUUAACGAAUUUCAUAUACCAGCACUGGGGAAUUCCUAAUGCAUGGUGAGCAGGUAAUGGAGAGUUCCACAAGGAACUCCUCAACACUGGAACUGC